UUUGGAAGCAGUGGUUAGAAAAUGGAUGGAUAUAUGUUUUGAACGGUCCUGAAGAAUUGGGGACAUGGAUUGUUCUCACCUCUUCAAAAUGUGUCAGAAGAAAUCCUUAGCACCCAAGGAAGCACAAUGAAAAAUUAUCUUCUGCGGGUCUUCCCAAUCUGAUACCGCUGUUUGGCAUGGUGCCAUCAUGUGUAAGGAAGCUCCCAGAGAUGAG
rnacentral:lncRNA from 1 species